UGAUCUGUGUGUGUCUAUUUUCUCAGGAAAAUAGAUAACAUAUGGAAAGGCAGCGGGCUUUGUAACUUUGAUUGGAAGUCUACUUCUUCCUUAAAAGCAUGGGUGAAGGGAUGAGUUGAAUCAAACCAAACCCAGCUAAUAAAGGAUGAGUUAAGGCUUCGACCUUAGCUUAAGGCUCUGCCAUAGAAAUGAGAGUUGGCGUGGGAGAGUAACUAUCUAUAUCCAUAGAAAUGGUUAUGUUGUAUUACAUCUGGCCAGGAGGAGACCUUUGUAAAAGUGUUUCUUGGCAUCACAAAUGUAAUAUUCAUAAAUAAAAUAAGUGUUACAAAUUUGAAUGCUUACCUUUCCGUA